GUAAGAGCUCCAAUUCUUUACAUAUGUGUUUCAAUCCGUGUUUCGCAUCCACAAAGCAAACUAAUGUAUUACAUAGAUUGAACUUGUUUGUGUUUCAAUCUGUGUUUUGCAUCCACAAAGCAAACUAAUGCGUGUUUCAAUCUGUGUUUUACAGAGAUUGAACUUGUUUCUUAUCUUAAUGUGUGUUGGAAUUGAAGAAUUCUUUACAUAGAUUGAACUUGUGUGAGUGUGUAUAUCUAUGUCUAUCUAAUGCGUGUUGGAGACGAAGAAUUGGGGAUGCGGUGCAUAUUCCAGGGGGUGUAUGUCUAAUUCACCCUAUUAUUAGGCAAUACUGAUUGGUUCUUAGUUGGAAGAAUAUUAGACAUGUAUAUAAUGAAUAAUAUAUAUGACAUUUGUUUUAUUUACUUACUCUACUAGUCUCUACUGCAAAACUGUCCUAGCAUAAAUAUUGUCAAAACUGUUUAGCAACAAAAUGGAAGAUGAUUUUAUUGAAACGGCAAAACAGAAAAGACAUAUAGGUCCUGUGUAUCAUAAGUUAUGCAUUAUCGUUCACCAGUUCUCAUUUUGUGAUUCAUGUCUUGAAUUUUGAACUUAGGUUCGACUUGGUAUACGUAUGUGGUCCUAUGUACGGGAAGAGGCUUCCCAUGGAAGGACAGAACCAAUUAAUCCUUUCAAUCAAGAGAGUUGCAAGCCAUCAGCAUCCCAAGGUGUCCCACUUGGAGGAAUGGGGAGUGGCAGCAUAUCAAGAGGUUUUAGAGGAGAGUUCAGGCAUUGGCAAAUUAUUCCUGGUACAUGUGACACUUCUAUCAUGGCCAAUCAUAGUCAAUGAAAUGGGAGUAGGUGGAGAUGUUCAUUGGUGUAAACUAAUCAUGAGGGGGAAAUUAAAGUUAAAAAUUGGUUGCUUCUGUUUUAAAAAAUGAUUAAUCAAAUCAGUUUGGACUUACUCAUUCAUUAUGAGAAAGCUGUUUGAUUAGACCAUUAUCAAAAUUGCACAACCCACACAAAUCUUUCACUGAACUUCUAGUCUUGUUUUUCUGCUUUAUCAGUUUUCCUCCAGAUGUCCUGAAAUUCAGUUGUUUCCAAGUAGUACCUCUUGGCAAGGCUCUGUUUUGGUUUAGCUUUGUGCAAUAAAAAUGUUAGUUAUUCUGCUUUAAUUUCUAAGGAGUAUCUCAUCCCCCUCUUGAUAACUUAUAGACCUUUAGUCCCCAGCUAUUAUCUUGGUGUUGUCUUAGUGUGAUUCUGUUUAACUAUAAAAUAUUUAUGCUUUGGUUUCUUUGUUUUUCCACAGGAUAUGGUUGUUCUUCCUUACAAGGAUAGCCUAUUAUUAUUUAGUAGGUAUUUAAAACAGUUGGUCAUGGAAUCACUUAGGAAGGAGUUUGACCUAGAUAGUAAUCGGGUAUGUCGAACCAUCUCUACCAACUCUUCUUGUUUGAACACGGAACAAAUUUGAUGUCCUAAAAUAUCAUUAUCUAUUUAAUUGGCAUUAAUAUUGUUUACCAUUGAAGCAUUUUGAUUUUGUGACACCUCUAGCAACUAAAAAAAAGGUGUGAUGUGAGACUAAGGCUACGCAUUUUAGAUGGCCAUAUAUUUUUGUCACACUAUAGAGUGUCAACUUGGCAGUGGUUUAGGAGGAAACAACUGAAUGGAGUAGAAUUUUCUUUGAGGAAAUAUUCCUUUUAUCUUUCUUUGGAGGCAAUUUUUAAAUAUUUUGGUUUUUAAGAAGGACUCUUAUAACAUGUUAGCAUUGUUGCAUCUAGUUAGGCAGAUGGCAUGUAAAUUGUAAUAACAAAUUUUCUAGCAACUUUGUACUUCAUGUCUUUUUCUUAGCUCUGUCCAAAAUUUUCAUCUAAAUAGCAAUUUUCUUCAAUUUCACCCUCACUAGAAAGAAAAAUUGGAUGAUUUAGUAUCUAUUAGAAAUCUUGUUUCUUAUUUUCAUAUUCUAUUCCCCAUCCAUCAAUAAGGAGUUGGAAACAUUGGAUUUUGAUUUCCUAAUUGUUAAAAUGGCAUUUGAUCCUGCAUUUCCAAUGUGUGGACAUUUUGAUGCAAAUGGAUGGUGCACCUUUAUCCAUUAACCGAGUUCUAUUACCUACAUAUAAUGAUUUAAGAUAUGACUAUCCCUAUCCACAAUAGACAAGAUACAUCUCCUGUUAUAUACGCCUUUAAUUUAUGUCAAUGCUCAAUAGCCCCUUUGGUAAUCAUGCUAGAAAAAUUUACUUUGUUUUUCUUUGGAAUUUGAAGUUAUCAACUAGCUAUUAAAGCUUCAACAGUUAAUCGAGCAUGAUAUUUAAAAUACCAUGUCUAGCCUAGGCAAGGACGUGUUGGUUGCCCAAGGCCCUGCUUUUACUAUGUGUCGAUGUUUAUUUUGAUAACUUAUGCUAGCCUUUUUUUUCCUUUUUUUCUCUUUUUCUUUUUUCUUGACCUCAAUAGGUGAAUCAGGGACUUACUGUUUAUGGAAAUAAAGGGAGCACGGAUCAGCAUACGUGAGCUUUUAUUCUCAUGUAGUACCUUAUAUCAUAUAUCUGUAGAUGUAGACCAUAUUUAAACCUUCCAUUUCUUUUCUAUAGCUACAUCCAACAACUAAGGGAGGGCUUGCACAACUUCUUUGUGACUUUCAUUGAAGCCCUGCAUGAUAGACCCCCUGGCCAUGAUUGGGAGCUUGAACCAGGGAUCACAUGGGGUGACUACCUGUUUGGUAUGUUACAAGUUAGUUUUCUGAUCCAUCUAUUAGUUUGAUAUAUCAAGACUGGUUAUGUGCUGAUCUAUUUUGUUUUUGUAUAGAUCUGA